rnacentral:rRNA from 1 species
GCACCACAAGGGGUGAAGCCUGCGGUUCAAUUGGACUCAACACCGGGAAACUUACCAGGGGAGACAGCAGAAUGACGGUCAGGUUGACGACCUUACCCGACGAGCUGAGAGGAGGUGCAUGGCCGUCGCCAGUUCGUGCUGUGAGGUAUCCUGUUAAGUCAGGCAACGAACGAGAUCCGCGCCUUUAUUUGCCAGCAAGAAGUCACGGCUUCGUUGGGAACACUAAAGGGACCGCCGUCGAUAAGACGGAGGAAGGAGCGGGCAAAGGCAGGUCAGUAUGCCCCGAAACCCCUGGGCUACACGCGGGCUGCAAUGGUAUGAACAAUGGGCUGUGACUCCGAAAGGAGAAACCAAUCCCGAAAUCAUAUCUCAGUUGGAAUUGUCGGCUGUAACCCGCCGACAUGAACGCGGAAUCCCUAGUAAUCGUGUGUCAUCAUCGCACGGUGAAUACGUCUCUGCUCCUUGCACACACCGCCCGUCGCUCCAUCCGAGUGUGCUAAAAAUGAGGUUUGGUCAAUUUGGUCAUAUCGAGUUUCUAGUAUGCGAGGAGGGAG